rnacentral:rRNA from 1 species
GAACGCUGAAGAGAGGAGCUUGCUCUUCUUGGAUGAGUUGCGAACGGGUGAGUAACGCGUAGGUAACCUGCCUUGUAGCGGGGGAUAACUAUUGGAAACGAUAGCUAAUACCGCAUAACAAUGGAUGACAUCAUGUCAUUUAUUUGAAAGGGGCAAUUGCUCCACUACAAGAUGGACCUGCGUUGUAUUAGCUAGUAGGUGAGGUAACGGCUCACCUAGGCGACGAUACAUAGCCGACCUGAGAGGGUGAUCGGCCACACUGGGACUGAGACACGGCCCAGACUCCUACGGGAGGCAGCAGUAGGGAAUCUUCGGCAAUGGGGGCAACCCUGACCGAGCAACGCCGCGUGAGUGAAGAAGGUUUUCGGAUCGUAAAGCUCUGUUGUAAGUCAAGAACGAGUGUGAGAGUGGAAAGUUCACACUGUGACGGUAGCUUACCAGAAAGGGACGGCUAACUACGUGCCAGCAGCCGCGGUAAUACGUAGGUCCCGAGCGUUGUCCGGAUUUAUUGGGCGUAAAGCGAGCGCAGGCGGUUUGAUAAGUCUGAAGUUAAAGGCUGUGGCUCAACCAUAGUUCGCUUUGGAAACUGUCAAACUUGAGUGCAGAAGGGGAGAGUGGAAUUCCAUGUGUAGCGGUGAAAUGCGUAGAUAUAUGGAGGAACACCGGUGGCGAAAGCGGCUCUCUGGUCUGUAACUGACGCUGAGGCUCGAAAGCGUGGGGAGCGAACAGGAUUAGAUACCCUGGUAGUCCACGCCGUAAACGAUGAGUGCUAGGUGUUGGAUCCUUUCCGGGAUUCAGUGCCGCAGCUAACGCAUUAAGCACUCCGCCUGGGGAGUACGACCGCAAGGUUGAAACUCAAAGGAAUUGACGGGGGCCCGCACAAGCGGUGGAGCAUGUGGUUUAAUUCGAAGCAACGCGAAGAACCUUACCAGGUCUUGACAUCCCGAUGCUAUUUCUAGAGAUAGAAAGUUACUUCGGUACAUCGGUGACAGGUGGUGCAUGGUUGUCGUCAGCUCGUGUCGUGAGAUGUUGGGUUAAGUCCCGCAACGAGCGCAACCCCUAUUGUUAGUUGCCAUCAUUCAGUUGGGCACUCUAGCGAGACUGCCGGUAAUAAACCGGAGGAAGGUGGGGAUGACGUCAAAUCAUCAUGCCCCUUAUGACCUGGGCUACACACGUGCUACAAUGGUUGGUACAACGAGUUGCGAGUCGGUGACGGCAAGCUAAUCUCUUAAAGCCAAUCUCAGUUCGGAUUGUAGGCUGCAACUCGCCUACAUGAAGUCGGAAUCGCUAGUAAUCGCGGAUCAGCACGCCGCGGUGAAUACGUUCCCGGGCCUUGUACACACCGCCCGUCACACCACGAGAGUUUGUAACACCCGAAGUCGGUGAGGUAACCUUUUGGAGCCAGCCGCCUAAGGUGGGAU